GACGAACGCUGGCGGCGUGCUUAACACAUGCAAGUCGAACGGAAAGGCCCUGCUUUUGUGGGGUGCUCGAGUGGCGAACGGGUGAGUAUCACGUGAGUAACCUGCCCUUGACUUUGGGAUAACUCCAGGAAACUGGGGCUAUUACCGGAUAGGAGAUCCUGCUGCAUGGUGGGGGUUGGAAAGUUGCGGCGGUGGGGGACGGACUCGUGGUUUAUCAGCUUGUUGGUGGGGUAGUGGCUUACCCAGGCUUCGACGGGUAGCCGGCCUGGGAGGGUGACCGGGCACAAUGGGCUUGGGAUAGCGGCAAGAGGGAUACGGGAGGCAGCGGUGGGGAAUAUUCCACAAUGGGCGGAAGCCGGAUGGAGGAACGCCGGGUGCGGGAAGACGGCUUUUGGGGUGGAACGCGCGUGCGCCUGGGACGAAGCGUGAGUGACGGUAAUGGGUAAAGAAGCACCGGCUAACUACGUG
rnacentral:rRNA from 1 species